UUUUUUAUCAAUAUGAACUCUCCAAAAAAAUUACGCUGUUAUCCCUAAAGUAACUUAAAUUUUUAAUCAUUAUUAAUGGAUCAUAUAUUCAUAAAUUAAUGUAAAACCAAAAUUAAAAGUUUUUUAAAUUUUAAUAUCACCCCAAUAAAAUAUUUUUAAUAAUUAUAAUUUAAUAAAUCUUUAUAAUUAAAAUUACUAUAAAUAUCAAGAUUUAUAGGGUCUUCUCGUCUUUUAAUAAUAUUUUAGCUUUUUGACUAAAAAAUAAAAUUCUAUAAAAAUUUUAAAUGAAACAGUUAAUAUUUCGUCCAACCAUUCAUACAAGCCUUCAAUUAAAAGACUAAUGAUUAUGCUACCUUUGCACAGUUAGG
rnacentral:rRNA from 1 species